CGGGCGGGCCUAUACAUGCAAGUCGGACGGGGUCCAGUGCUGAGAGAGCUUGCUCGAAGACGGUGAGAGUGGCGCACGGGUGCGUAACGCGUGAGCAACCUACCUCUAUCAGGGGGAUAGCCUCUCGAAAGAGAGAUUAACACCGCAUAACAUAUCUGACCGGCAUCGGUUAGCUAUUAAAUAUUUAUAGGAUAGAGAUGGGCUCGCGUGACAUUAGCUAGUUGGUAGGGUAACGGCUUACCAAGGCGACGAUGUCUAGGGGCUCUGAGAGGAGAAUCCCCCACACUGGUACUGAGACACGGACCAGACUCCUACGGGAGGCAGCAGUAAGGAAUAUUGGUCAAUGGGCGGAAGCCUGAACCAGCCAUGCCGCGUGCAGGAUGACUGCCCUAUGGGUUGUAAACUGCUUUUGUCCAGGAAUAAACCUUUAUACGUGUAUGAAGCUGAAUGUACUGGAAGAAUAAGGAUCGGCUAACUCCGUGCCAGCAGCCGCGGUAAUACGGAGGAUCCGAGCGUUAUCCGGAUUUAUUGGGUUUAAAGGGUGCGUAGGCGGCCUAUUAAGUCAGGGGUGAAAUACGGUGGCUCAACCAUCGCAGUGCCUUUGAUACUGAUGGGCUUGAAUCCAUUUGAAGUGGGCGGAAUAAGACAAGUAGCGGUGAAAUGCAUAGAUAUGUCUUAGAACUCCGAUUGCGAAGGCAGCUCACUAAGCUGGUAUUGACGCUGAUGCACGAAAGCGUGGGGAUCGAACAGGAUUAGAUACCCUGGUAGUCCACGCCCUAAACGAUGAUAACUCGAUGUUGGCGAUAGACAGCCAGCGUCCCAGCGAAAGCGUUAAGUUAUCCACCUGGGGAGUACGCCCGCAAGGGUGAAACUCAAAGGAAUUGACGGGGGCCCGCACAAGCGGAGGAGCAUGUGGUUUAAUUCGAUGAUACGCGAGGAACCUUACCCGGGCUUGAAAGUAAGUGAAGAGUGCAGAGACGCACUCGUCCUUCGGGACACGAAACUAGUGCUGCAUGGCUGUCGUCAGCUCGUGCCGUGAGUGUGGGUAGUCCGCACGACGCACCCCUAUGUUAGUGCAGCAUGUAUGUGGGACUCUAAACAAACUGCUGUGCAACAAAAAGAAGGUGGGGACCACGUUCAGUCAUCAUGCGUACGUCGGGCUAACCACGUGGCUCAAUGAUGGUCGCGGCAGCUACAUAGCAUGAGCUAUCCAAGCAUCCAUUCGAAUCGUCGAACUCGACCCAUGAGUGUUGAUGCUA
rnacentral:rRNA from 1 species